rnacentral:rRNA from 1 species
GUAGGUGGCAAGCGUUGUCCGGAAUUAUUGGGCGUAAAGCGCGCGCAGGUGGUUCUUUAAGUCUGAUGUGAAAGCCCCCGGCUCAACCGGGGAGGGUCAUUGGAAACUGGGGAACUUGAGUGCAGGAGAGGAAAGUGGAAUUCCACGUGUAGCGGUGAAAUGCGCAGAUAUGUGGAGGAACACCAGUGGCGAAGGCGGCUUUCUGGCCUGUAACUGACACUGAGGCGCGAAAGCGUGGGGAGCAAACAGGGAUUAGAUACCCUGGUAGUCCACGCCGUAAACGAUGAGUGCUAAGUGUUGGGGGGGUUUCCCGCCCCUCAGUGCUGCAGCUAACGCAUUAAGCACUCCGCCUGGGGAGUACGGUCGCAAGACUG